AAAUUGAAGAGUUUGAUCAUGGCUCAGAUUGAACGCUGGCGGCAGGCCUAACACAUGCAAGUCGAGCGGAAACGACACUAACAAUCCUUCGGGUGCGUUAAUGGGCGUCGAGCGGCGGACGGGUG
rnacentral:rRNA from 1 species